UUGAAAGAAGGAAAUAUAUGAAUUUGGUGGUUCAUAGCGCUCGUCACCCUGAACUCAGGGAUUAUAUCCAUUCUGCUGUCUCGGGACUUCAUCCUUUCAUCCAAAAGUCUUAUGGCUCAAGGGUGGAAGAAGCUGACCUGGAGUUCUCACUAAGGUCCUUUUUUAUCAAGCUUCCCUUCUCAGAAUCCCUUACACGGGUUCUUCCCCAGGGUGGGAGAUAACCGCGUAAUUUCGAUCCCUACGUCAGGCAAGUACAAGGAUGCAGAGUUAUGGAUUCCAACAGACACACAGCAAUGGCAACAGCCUCCAUUAAUAACUCCUAUUAAAUCGAUGAGUAGCGAACCUCUAUCUGUGCAGUUAUAUUUGGAACAUCCAGGUUUAUCUGAACCAAAGGCUUAAAGGGAAUUAAGUAAAUGAAUAUCUGCCUUGAUUUUACAUGACAAAUCAUGACCACACUGUCCCAUAAACAUACUGCUCAUGAAGUAAAUUCCUCGCUUUCUGCAUUUUGGUGUAUAAACCACAAUAAUUCAGUGCUUAGUAUUGUAAAGUUGUUAUCCAAUUAGAAUGAGAUUACAGGGUACAAAGGUAGAAAUUUUGUUCAGGAUGAAGGGUAAAGCAUAAGUACAACACUUUGGAGAAA